UCAAAAAAGUUACUCCUUUCUCCGUCCGUCUACCUCUUCCAAAUCCCCAACCCGCCCCACUUUUCUCCACUCCACCCAGCGUCCGGAUCCCAUCUCACCUAGCGGCGCUCAUGUGACACUCCGGCUCGCGCUCUCGCUCACGCUCUGCAACCCACCUGUCGACGCGGCUGUUCCAACUGGAGCUUGGGCGUAUCUAAUUAAGCCACCGGGUUGGAAUCGGGGGCGAUGGGGCAGGAGGGGAUGGGCUACAGCAGCGGCAAGGCCGGCGGCGGUGGGGGAGGGGCCCUGCCGAUGACGGCGGCGCGGGCGCGUGGGGCUUCGCCGCUCAGCACCCACCAUCGGUCGCGGAAGAUCAGCCGCACCUUCAACAACGUCAAGAUCACCGUGCUCUGCGGCCUCGUCACCAUCCUCGUCCUCCGGGGUACCAUUGGGCUCAACCUCUCCCUUCCGUCCCAACCCUCCGACGCCGAUGCCCUCGCAGGCGCCAAGGCCGUUGAGGACAUCGACCGCAUCCUCCGCGAGAUCCGCUCCGACUCCGACCCCUCCGACCCCACCGACAGCGACCUCGACUCCUCCAGCGUCCUUUCCAACGCCACCGCACUCAACUCCUCGGAAGCCGCCGCCGCCUAUGCCGCCGCCGUGGGCAACUACGCGCUCGGUCCCAACGUCUCUGGCUGGGACGAGCAGCGCCGACGGUGGCUCGCGCAGAACAAGGGCUUCCCAGCCACUGUCCCCGGCGGCAAGCCCAGGAUCCUGCUUGUCACGGGGUCGCAACCAGGCCCCUGUGACAACCCGCUUGGCGACCACUACCUGCUCAAGAGCACCAAAAACAAGAUCGACUACUGCCGCUUCCACGACAUCGAGAUCGUUCACAAUCUUGCGCACCUCGACAACGAGCUCGCUGGUUACUGGGCCAAGCUGCCGCUGCUCCGCCGACUUAUGCUCUCCCACCCGGAGGUCGAGUGGAUCUGGUGGAUGGACAGUGACGCCCUAUUCACCGACAUGGCCUUUGAGCUGCCCCUCUCGCGCUAUGACAACCAUAACCUCAUCAUUCACGGUUAUCAGGAUCUCCUCUUUGAGAAGCACUCUUGGAUCGCGCUCAACACCGGCAGCUUCCUCUUCCGGAACUGCCAGUGGUCACUCGAUCUUCUCGCUGCGUGGGCUCCUAUGGGGCCCAAGGGCUUCAUCCGCGAGGAAGCCGGGAAGAUACUCACCGCAUACCUGAAGGGCCGUCCAGCAUUCGAGGCUGACGACCAGUCUGCGUUGAUACACCUCUUGCUCUCGCAGAAGGAGAAGUGGAUGGACAAGGUGUAUAUAGAGAAUUCAUACUACUUGCACGGUUUCUGGGCUGGGCUGGUGGACAAGUACGAGGAGAUGAUGGAGAACCACCAUCCAGGGCUUGGGGAUGAGCGGUGGCCAUUUGUGACACACUUUGUUGGGUGCAAGCCAUGCGGAAGCUAUGGUGAUUACCCAGUAGACCGGUGUCUCAAGAGUAUGGAGCGAGCAUUUAAUUUUGCCGAUAACCAGGUGCUGCGCCUGUAUGGUUUCGCACACAAGGGGCUGGAAAGCCCUAAGAUCAAAAGGAUCAGGAGUCAGACCACAAAGCCUAUUAACGACAAGGAGAACCUUGAUGUGAAGGCCAAGAUGUCGACCACUUCUUGAAGCUACUGAAGAUAAGGCAAUAGCAUAGGCUCUCUUCAAGGUCCAAGAAUGGCCAGUUUUGAGAUAAGUGGUGGAGGAAAACCAUAUAGGGCUUGGAAUGGGGACAUUUUGAUUGCAGUGUGAUAGGUAGAAUUGUACCAGAAUUCAGCCAAAGACAACCGAGAAAGCCAUUUCUUAGGUGCUGGUGUAGUCAUGCAUCUUAAAUAUUAUCAUUUUUGGAGGGCCAUGCAACCUAAUUGUGUAAUCAACAAAGGCUUGAGCCACACCGAGCACUGUGUAGGGAUGAGACAGGGGAAUAAAAUGUGCAUACUUGGUAAACCCGUCCACUAUUACCAUGAUGACAUCCUUUCCUUGAGAGUUAGGCACGCCCUCAAUGAAGUCCAUAGAUAUGUGUUGCCAUGCCAUAUCAGCCACAGGGAGUGCUUCCAGAAGACCAGGCUGUAAGCAAUUUUCAUGCUUAGCUCUUUGACAGAUAGGGCAGGCAUCAAUGAAAGCUUCCACUAAUGAUUUUACUCCAGGCCAGUUAAAAAUGCUUUUCACUCUAUGAUAUGUUGCUCUUCUUCCAGAGUGACCACCCACAGGAGAGUUGUGCAAAGCUAUGAGUAACUUGUUUCUUAACUUAGGAAUGUUGCCCACAAGAAUUUUUCCUUUAUAUCUUA